rnacentral:misc_RNA from 1 species
GAUGAAGAACGCAGUGAAAUGCGAUAAGUAAUGUGAAUUGCAGAAUUCAGUGAACCAUCGAAUCUUUGAACGCACAUUGCGCCCGCCAGUACUCUGGCGGGCAUGCCUGUCCGAGCGUCAUUUCAACCCUCGAACCCCUCCGGGGGGUCGGCGUUGGGGAUCGGCCCUCCGUUCGCGGGGGCCGUCUCCGAAAUGCAGUGGCGGUCUCGCCGCAGCCUCCCCUGCGCAGUAGCUUGCACACUCGCACCGGGAGCGCGGCGCGUCCACAGCCGUUAAACACCCAACCUUCUGGAAUGUUGACCUCGGAUCAGGUAGGAAUACCCGCUGAACUUAAGCAUAUCAAUAAGCGGAGGA